rnacentral:rRNA from 1 species
AGAGUUUGAUCAUGGCUCAGAGCGAACGCUGGCGGCGUGCUUAACACAUGCAAGUCGAGUGCGCAGUUCUCUGUAGCAAUACAGGGGAUGGGCGCACGGCGCACGGGUGCGUAACACGUGGGCAAUCUGCCCUCGGAUGGGGGAUAACUCGCCGAAAGGCGAGCUAAUACCGCAUGACAUUCCGAAGACUCCGGUCUUUGGACUCAAAGGCCGCAAGGCCGUCUGAGGAGGAGCCCGCGCCCGAUUAGCUAGUUGGUGAGGUAACGGCUCACCAAGGCUUUGAUCGGUAGCCGGUCUGAGAGGAUGGCCGGCCACACUGGAACUGAGACACGGUCCAGACUCCUACGGGAGGCAGCAGUGGGGAAUAUUGCGCAAUGGGCGAAAGCCUGACGCAGCGACGCCGCGUGGGGGAUGAAGCUUCUCGGAGUGUAAACCCCUUUCGACCCGGACGAAUGACCCGCAAGGGUUUGACGGUACGGGUAUAAGAAGCCCCGGCUAACUACGUGCCAGCAGCCGCGGUAAUACGUAGGGGGCCAGCGUUGCUCGGAAUUACUGGGCGUAAAGGGUUCGUAGGUGGUGCGGCAAGUUGGAAGUGAAAUCUCUGGGCUUAACCCAGAGGCUGCUUUCAAAACUGCCGUGCUCGAGUGCGAGAGAGGCCAGUGGAAUUGCAGGUGUAGCGGUGAAAUGCGUAGAUAUCUGCAGGAACACCCGUGGCGAANNCGGCUGGCUGGAUCGCAACUGACACUGAGGAACGAAAGCUAGGGGAGCAAACAGGAUUAGAUACCCUGGNAGUCCUAGCCCUAAACCAUCGGAACUUGGGGUG